UACAGAGGGGGCAAGCGUUGUUCGGAAUUACUGGGCGUAAAGGGCGCGUAGGCGGCCUCUUAAGUCGAACGUGAAAUCCCCGGGCUCAACCCGGGAACUGCGUCCGAUACUGGGAGGCUUGAAUCCGGGAGAGGGAUGUGGAAUUCCAGGUGUAGCGGUGAAAUGCGUAGAUAUCUGGAAGGAACACCGGUGGCGAAGGCGGCAUCCUGGACCGGUAGUUGACGCGUGACGGCGCGG
rnacentral:rRNA from 1 species